UCUUAAAACUUUGGCUGCAAUUUGGGAAUUGCGGUUCUUCUUGACUUUAAUUUGGGAAAGAGUGAGAACCAUUCGUUUCCCAACCAUCGAGCAUUCGAGCGCACAUCCUAUCAUUUCUCUCUCCUCAAGCAUUUUCUCUCUCCUCCAUAGCAAUGAGUGCCUCUGAAUUUUCCAUUGAAGCGGCUUUUGAGCUAGCUCUACUCCAAUGAAGCAGCUCCUGAGGCAUGUUCUGCCAGUAAGAGCCAAGAGUCAAGUUGGUCUCCUUCCACUCUUGGCUGAGUAUAGAAUGAGAAUGGGCAUUCUACCAGCAAGAGUCAGGUGAGGCCGGAAAAUGUGGGGAGGAAUGAUGGCUGAGCCUCCACGUUAUAUGCUCAGUGGGUUGGGGGGUGUUGUUCGUGACAAUGCUAGGGAUGCUCUGGCAGCAACUUGUUGUAACCUUGCAAAAUAUUUGAUUUUGAUGUGGAUGUUUUUGAAGCAAUGGCUGCUAGACACAUUCUCAUUAUGGCAAUAGAAGCGGGGUUAACCGACAACCUGAAGCUAUAUCAACAUUUGAAGAACAAAAGGCAUGAGAACACAAGCUUCGGACUUAAAGUGUGGGAUAUCCUUCAGCUAGACUCAAUACUACCUCACUUGUUUAGGUUGUUCCUGAAGGAUUCUGUGGUGCUGUAAGGUAAGCUUUGGUUUGUUUCCCUUGCUUUCGGAAAUAUAGUAAUUACUUAUCUUCAUUUAUGUUGAUUACUUGUUUGUCUAUCAUAAACACUGCCAAAACUCCUUUGAACUUUCUUAGCCAUCAACUGAUUUGGCUAUGGUAGACCAGCCAUUCACUGGUAAUUCAUAUCCCCAAUCUGUUAGUGUAUAUAUAUAUAUGAGUAUGGAUUGACUUCUCGUGUAAUGAAUGAUGUUAUGCUAGAUUAUGCUAGCAUUUCUUAAUCAAAAUCUGCUGCUGCUUUCUUUCAACAACAACAAAAAAAUGUUCUCAUUGAUGAGAAAUACAUAUGUUGUCUCUAAGAGUAAAUAAAAAAGAAUAAAAAGUAAAUAAAAAGGACUUUAAAGUAAACCUAUUAACUCAUGUGGUAGAGCACUAUGCGGAAGCAUAGAGGUGUAGGUUCGAUUCCUACAUAGGUUAUAUUAAAAAGUAAUUACAAAACACUCUAAAAUUAUUCAAAAUAUGUCAAACGUAAAUCAAAAUCUCUUAAAAGUAAGAAGAAAAUCUUACGAAAAUAAUAAUAUAUGUCAAAAGUAAAUCAUAAUUCUCUAAAGUAAAUAAAUAAUGCUAAAAAGUAAACCAAGGUAUCAUUGAAGUAAAUCAAAUUAGCUCUAAAGUAUAUGAAUAAUAAAUAUCUUGAAAUGAGAAAUGGCUAUGGGAACAUUGUUAUAGCACAAAAACUCCGAGUCAUUGACUUUCAUAUCCUUACAAGGCGAGUCAGAUUAUAAGAAACAAAUAUAUUGAGUUCGAUAUGACGUAGAGGUUUUCAUAUUAAAAGUAAAUAAAACUAUAUCAAAAGUAAACAAAAAAAAAAAAAAAAAUCUAAUAAAACAUUAGGAAUUCUAAUCUAGAGAUUACACACAUAAACCUACAUGGGAUUCGAACCCACAUCUUCUUUGCACUUGCACAAUGCUCUACCUAUUGAGCUAGUAGGCUAUUGUAGAGUAAGAAUAAUUCGUUAACACAAUCAUUAGUUUUUAGUUUUUUUAUAUAAAAAAAAAGUAAAUAUAAUAUACUCAAAAGUAAAUAAGAAAAGCUUAAUCACAAAAAAUGCAUCUCCUUCCAACCGUAUUCGCUUCACACCCAAUCUACGUGCCACAAGUAACCUGAAUCUUGCUCUGCUGCAUAUUUAAUUUCUAACCUUCCAAAGAUAGCUACUACUCAUCAGGCAUAAUGAAUUAAAAAAUCAAAUUAUUUAUCAUCAUAAAAAGGAAGCAAAUUAAUCGCAAUUAUACUAACCAAUCAAUUAUAGAAACUAGUUAAGAAGAAUAUUCCUGUUCUUUAUGUCCUUGUGAACAUAUGGUGGGCUUGUAUAUCUAUGUAGGUAGUUCAGUCAUGUGGCAACAUCACAAGCCACCUGCAUUCUUUAUCCCCAACUCAAGGUUUUCUUAUCGGGGCUGUCUUGGUAUAUCCAAUCACAAAGGUCUGUUACCUGCAUAUCAUAAACUUAGUACCAAUUCCAUCCUAAAAGCAAACCCCCUACAAUAUGAUGAGAAUUAAAUGGUUGAUCUUGUUUGGUACAUUAAUCUCUUUGCUGACAUCUCCAUCCAUCUUUUUUUAUUACCACCUGAUUGUCAUUUACAUUUCCCUUAUACAUUGAUCUCUUGAUCCAAUGAUUAGUACUACAAUUUACUGUCGCUGCUUGCAGGUCCUUGAAACUGUACACUUUCAGGGAAACCAUUUUCCCUUAUACACAGAUCCCUUGAUCCAAUGAUCAGUACGUAUGUAGACUGCACUCUUGUUCAUAGCAGCAUCCCGUUUUGCUCAACUCUAAGAACUUCUGAGCAAAGCACCUACAAAUAUGGCACUAUCAAUUCAAAAAUAAAUAGAAAUAAGUCAAAAGUAAAUAAAAAUAUCUUAUAAACAUUACCAAAACAACUAUGCAAAACUAGUAACCAUUUGGGCAGACAACUAGGCUAAUCACAGUUUUUCAAAUUAUUUGUAAUGCUAAGCGCACCUAAUCUAGCAGCCUAGUAUAAGAUUCAUUCCAUUAACUCUAUGCAUCGGCUGUCUCAGGGGAGCUGGGUAUGUUCAGGUGAGUACAGGGGAGAGAUUGGUUUUAUCUCAUGAAAAAUGGGUGCACCCGGCUGAUGGGCGGGUGAGAGUGAACACAGAUGCUGCAGUUAUGGAGGGGAUUGGCAUGGGGAUGGGGUCCGCAUUUGGGAUUUGGAGGGGAAGCUGGUUGCUGUGGAAGAUCUGCUGUUGAAUCUGUGAAGCUCGCUGAGGCUCUAGCAGCAAGGAUGGGAGUGAGGCUUGCUAAGAGGAUUGGAUUUAUGAUAUUUAUAUGCAUGAUUCAAGAAGUAUAUGAAUGAAAUUGGACUGAGUUAUAUGAUUUCAUUUGAUUUAAUGACGA